CCAUCUUUAUCCGUUAAGUUUUCCCACCAUACUGGCUCUUCUAUACAUACUCACAUGUAUAGCAACAAAAAAAGAGGACGAGCAACACUCCCUUCAUCAUCUCACAUCCUAGUGUUUGACAAAAACUAGCUGAAAACCACCCCAAUUCCUCUACCCUAAGACCAACGCCAACCAUUGUGAAGUAGACAAGAGAGCUGUUUCUCUGUUGCACAUCCAUCUUCGCCGCCAGCUGGGAAUCUUAGUGGGAAAACCUCCAUUUUCAGUGAACAAGAAGCAACCAUCAUCCCUGCUCUCUUCGACGAAAAAUGCCACCAUAUCAACCCUCAAACCAACCAUCUGCUUCCCCCAAUUUUAGCCAAGUGAGGUCACUUUUAUCCUUCUGAACUCCAGCUGAAAAUCAACAACGAUCACAACCCCAAACACACCCGAAAAUCACCUAAAAAUAGUCCCUUCUCGUGAAAAGAGCAGUUUCAAGAUUGAAUUCGAGUCCGCCAGCGAGCUUAAGUUCGAGUGAGCUCCGGUCCUGUUCGUGAGUCCCGAACACGUUUGUUUGGAGUGUUUGUAAUUUGAUAAAAAAAAGAUAGUUCAAUUAAAAAGGUCAGCUCCUUUUCACCAGUUACUUUGGCAGAAUAAUCUUUGUGUGAUAUUUGCUUGUUCUUAUGACUACAAGUAUGGAUUUGCUUAUUGUUUUCCUCUGUUAUCAUGAUUUUCAUUUAACAUUAUUUGUUAACAUCCAUGGAAGCCAUGGAUGUAAGGAUCAAUGGAGACGGAGAACUAUAGAC
rnacentral:lncRNA from 1 species